rnacentral:rRNA from 1 species
UACGUAGGGGGCUAGCGUUGCUCGGAAUCACUGGGCGUAAAGCGCACGUAGGCGGCUUUUUAAGUCAGAGGUGAAAUCCUGGAGCUCAACUCCAGAACUGCCUUUGAUACUGGAGAGCUUGAGUCCGGGAGAGGUGAGUGGAACUGCGAGUGUAGAGGUGAAAUUCGUAGAUAUUCGCAAGAACACCAGUGGCGAAGGCGGCUCACUGGCCCGGUACUGACGCUGAGGUGCGAAAGCGUGGGGAGCAAACAGG